rnacentral:rRNA from 1 species
UACGGAGGGUGCAAGCGUUGUCCGGAAUCAUUGGGCGUAAAGAGUUCGUAGGUGGUUUAAUAAGUCAGAUGUUAAAGGCGCAGGCUCAACUUGUGUAUGGCAUUUGAUACUGUUAGACUUGAAUGCGGUAGAGGUAAAGGGAAUUCCCGGUGUAGCGGUGAAAUGCGUAGAUAUCGGGAGGAACAUCGGAGGCGUAAGCGCUUUACUGGGCCGUAAUUGACACUGAGGAACGAAAGCCGGGGUAGCAAAU